rnacentral:misc_RNA from 1 species
UCCGAGUUGACCCCGGCAGUCUCCUGCGAGUCCCCGCCAUUACGCGCUGGCAACACAGGACAAGGGUUGCGCUCGUUGCGGGACUUAACCCAACAUCUCACGACACGAGCUGACGACAGCCAUGCACCACCUGUAUACCGACCACAAGGGGGGCCGUAUCUCUACGGCUUUCCGGUAUAUGUCAAACCCAGGUAAGGUUCUUCGCGUUGCAUCGAAUUAAUCCGCAUGCUCCGCCGCUUGUGGUUUAAUUGGACGCAACGCCAAGAACCUUACCUGGGCUUGACAUGUUCCUGACCGCCGUGGAAACACGGCUUCCCUUCGGGGCAGGAUCACAGGUGGUGCAUGGCUGU